UGCAGUCGAACGGGAUUGAGAAGCUUGCUUUUCAUGAGAGUGGCGCACGGGUGCGUAACACGUAUGUAACCUACCUUAAUCUGGGGGAUAGCCUCUCGAAAGAGAGAUUAACACCGCAUAACAUUAUCGGAUAGCAUUUUCUGAUAAUCAAAUAUUUAUAGGAUUAAGAUGGGCAUGCGGAACAUUAGCUAGUUGGUAAGGUAAUGGCUUACCAAGGCUACGAUGUUUAGGGGAUCUGAGAGGAUGACCCCCCACACUGGUACUGAGACACGGACCAGACUCCUACGGGAGGCAGCAGUAAGGAAUAUUGGUCAAUGGGCGCAAGCCUGAACCAGCCAUGCCGCGUGCAGGAAGACGGCCCUACGGGUUGUAAACUGCUUUUGUACCGGAAUAAACCUUUUCACGUGUGAGAAGCUGAAUGUACGGUAAGAAUAAGGAUCGGCUAACUCCGUGCCAGCAGCCGCGGUAAUACGGAGGAUCCAAGCGUUAUCCGGAUUUAUUGGGUUUAAAGGGUGCGUAGGCGGUUCUUUAAGUCAGGGGUGAAAGACGGUAGCUUAACUAUCGCAGUGCCUUUGAUACUGAAGAACUUGAAUACACUUGAGGUAGGCGGAAUGUGACAAGUAGCGGUGAAAUGCAUAGAUAUGUCACAGAACACCAAUUGCGAAGGCAGCUUACUAAAGU
rnacentral:rRNA from 1 species